CAAUGUGUUGCUGAAGCACAGAAGGCCAAGAGGAUGCUGGGCUGCAUCAACAAGGACACCAGCAGUAGAGAUAAAAAAGUCAUUAUCCCACUCUUCUCAGUUCUUGUCAGGCCGCACCUCAAAUACUGUGUUUAAUUCUGGUUCCCACUGUGGAAAACAAUGUGCUCAGGCUGGAGAGGGCCCAAGGAAGUGACACAAAGGAAGUACUGGGACUCUUUCCAUAUGAGGAAAGGCUGAGAGAACUGGAUUUGUUCGGCCUUGAGGAAAGAUGGCUUAGGGAAGAACUUAUCUCCAUGUUCCUGUAUUUAAAAGGCACUGCAAAGAAGAUGGAGACUCUCUUUUUACAAGGUUUCACAUGGAAAAAGCAAGGGAUUUAACCCUUUGGGAGAACAAAGGACAAAGCUCACAUCUCUGCGCAACCUCUUUUUACCCCUCCAAGAGUUUCCAAUCCUGGACAAAUGCACUGUUGUCUGAAAACAAAAUAAACAUCCUGAGAGGAGUGGAUUAUCUGAGUGAGAUGGAAUCAGGCUAAAACAUCCAAAACACUCCACCUGUUUUUUUCCUGACUUGCUGCAAAUUCAGCAGGAAUUAUUUGGCUCUGACAGGCACCGCUGGUAUUUAAUAUUUUGGCUACGGGGGUUCUCAAAGGAGGAGAAUCUUCUGCAAAGAAGGGAAAUUCUGAAGUGAUCCAACACCAAGGGAAAAGCUGAGAUGUGCAGAUUUUGGUACAACACUCAACUUAAGCACUGCUGACAGCAAGGACUGAGGUGCUUGAUGCGGGAUCAAACCUUGAAGUGGCUGAGAUCAACUAAAUAAUUUGGUUGUCAUCAAUCCCAGUCAUCACAAGUAACUCUGAUUCCUCUCUUUCAGUGUCCCUGCCUGGGAAUACCUGUACCUUUUCCAAAAUAUAUGCAGAUUAAAGUCAACUUGUAGGUAACAUGAAAGAGAUGCGACCACAGCGUAACAGCCCAGCAUCUUUACACACCAAUAACACACACGAAACCAUCCAAAAAUUAUAGAAUUUAUUUCCUAGCUUGACUAUUUGUUCCUAAAUACAGAUUUAAGGGUUCUGAAUAUGCAACUUGGCAUAAUACCAUUAUACAAAGGAGUUCUUUUUCCCAGUGGUAAAUUUGGAGUUAAUGGGAAUGAAAUGUGUGGUCUGCUUAAGAGUCUCCUCUCUACAUCCCACAAAUGUGCACUGAAAUUUACCCUUUCAUCUACAGUGUACUCAGAGUUUCUCAAUGGGUGAAAUAAAGGACCAAAACAAAUAAAAAUCACUGCAAGAAAAAGAUUAAUUUUACGACUGAGAAGUUUGAAUUUCAGCAUUUGACAAACCCAAGAUAUUUUAAACACAGGACAGAAGAAUGACUUCACUGGGAUUUAUUUUUUGAAAGCCCCUGAUUCAUACAAACUCCUAUUUUUGGGAGUUUUUGUUCUACAGUGAAAGGAAAGAAAAUACUUUCCUGUUUGUCUGUGCACAUGCACGUUUCUAAUAUAAAUUAUACAGUUUUGGUUUAUGUGUGGGUAGGUAUAUGCAUAUGCAUAGGCAUAUGUAUAGUGCAAUUCACAGUUUUUAGGAUUUUAAAAAAUCAGUGGCUUAUAGCUGUGCUUUAAAAUAAACUGUUUCGAUUUCCCAUAUUAAAUAAAAAAAAAUAAAAUAAAAUGAAGGACUAAUGAAAUUAAUGGUUGUUCAAAUCAGGGGCAAUUACAAAGCACACAUUUCUUUUCCUAGGGUAUGAAUUGUAUUCAACGUUUGCAGCACAAGCCUGUAGGAUAAAUAAUGUAGUGGGUUUGGUGAUUUGAUACUAAAAGAAGAACAAAAUCCUACAGAUGUAGCCUCAUUUUUCUCCACACUCCAACUGCUCACUUUUUUUUCCAAUUGCGUAAUUUGUACAGUUAAAAAAAAAAAAAAUCAGAUUCUUUGUCUAGGAAAACCAAUUUCCACUGUAAUAGGUACUUGCAUAUAAUUACAGGAAUUUUGUAAAGUGAAACAAAGAAACAAUAGACCAGUGACUGUGUUGUUGUUUUCUGAUUGAGAUUAAAUUGACAGUUGAUAUCUUUAUCCCUUCAGUAAAAAUCCCUGUAACUUUUGCACAUUUUGUACACCAAAGCCUGAUAUGCAAAAGCUCCAAUUCUCACUGGCACCAGGACAACAUUUUUAAAGGCAAUGAGAUGCCUAAAGAUACAAGUCAGAUAUCUAAUGGGAUUUUCAGAAGCACCUCAGUGCCUAACUUUUGGUUUUGGGUGCCUGAAUAUCUUGAAGAAAAAAAAAAAAUCUGUCCAGAGCUCCCAAAUAAUUUUAGGGACUUGUAACCACUGUAGAAUCCCCCUUUUAGAAAACUGAAUAAUAGAAAGACACCAUCAACCAUCAACCAAAGACCAUAAUUUGUUGCUUCCCCCAUGAGUUGAGCACUGUAAUAAAAUCAGAGCAACUUCCUCUAAGUAAUGUAGAAAAUGUCUCAGAUCUCUUAAAAGUAUUCAGGCCCAUGUUGACACAGGGAUUUGACAUAGGACCAGGUCUGCCAUGGCCAAAUA
rnacentral:lncRNA from 13 species